ensembl:lncRNA
GUGUGUGUGUGUGAAAUAUCCAAUAUUAAGCCUUAGAUUUGCUUCUUACUCAGUUGUAGACUGAAGUCUAUACAAGUUGCUCUUUGCAAAUACUAGUAGGUAAAAAAAGCUAUCAUGUUUUGGAGGUAAGGUAGACUUCAGUGACAUUUUAAAGAUACAUUGUAUAACUUCAAUCUACAUAUACGCCCAUAUGUUCCUAUGUCACGAUCCAGGUAAUUGAUUGAUGGUGACGCCAUAUAAUUUCUACCUCAUCCUGUACUGUGCAGUAAAUAUGGUGAUACAUAUACCUUUUCAAGUCGGGGCUGAUCCAUUACUCCACAUCUGCCUGUAUGAAUAAAUGCAGGAACGAAUGUGUGAGCCCCUGGAGGGAAAAGCAGAGUUUCAAAGUGAGCCAGAAGCCCUUCAGUAACCGUGGCCACAUCAUGCCAUGACCAGCGAAUAAGGCUUGGGUCAUUUUCUGCCUGCAAAUUAUUUUAUCUUAAUCUCUCUUUGACACGCCAAGAGGCCUCUGUGAGAUAAUAAGCAAUGUUCAAUUAUAUUGUCAUCGGGACAAAACAAAAAAAUGCAUAAAGUUUUUAUGAUUUCAACGAAACUAACGAGAAUUGCAAGACAAUGGAUCAAAUAUUCGUAUACGUUUACAGCCCCCCCCCCCCCACCCAAUUCCAGUUGUUUGUGUUUACUCGCUUACAUUCAGUUUACUUUCUCUUCUAAUGCUGGUAUCCUUGUUCCUUGUACAGGCUUUCAGUAGCUGGGUGUGGAAUGCUGUAGUGUGUGUAUAUGUGUGUGUGGGUGUAUGGGUCUGUGUGUAGGGGCACAGCCACGUGUGUGUGUGUGUGUGUGUGUGUGCGUGCGGGGUCUCUGAUGCUUGAUUCAUCAUUAACUAUGCAACGAAGACGGCUGCUUUGUGGCCCAGAAACAGACCACGGCUGGUACAUUAGCGUUUGCUUUUUUUUUUGCACAGCUCAUUUUAACCCCAGGAUUCGAAAGGGACCGACUGUGUUCCGUCUUCACUCUAUCUUUCUUGGUAUAUUAUAAUCAAGGAUAAUUUUUCAUCGUGAAAGGGCGUUUUUCUGGGUUGUUUUUUUGAACACUAUUGCUGUUUUGUUUGUUAUGUAAGGUGGUACUCUGUUGUGCCACACCUAGAAUGAUGCGCUCCACUGUUCUCAGAAAAGAGUCCCAGUCUUCCUCUCUCUUGCUCACACCAGCAGGGACGUCAGUAGCGAUCCCUCCCUUGGUAGAUGGUAGUCUAAUGUAGAACAGAAGAAGACGCAAAAAAGAGCCAGUCUACCCAUUGAUUCUGUACUCUGCUGCUAAAAUGGUAACAUAUUGUCGUUCAUAACGACCCCCCCCCCCCAUCCCCAUACUGUUCGACUAUAAGGUAUCUUCUCAUUGUGCGUGUGUACUUUAUAUGUACUGAAAGUGGGCUUAUUUUGUUAAUGGGUCUAGCGAAAUGCGUGUGUAAAAAAUAAAUAAUGUAGAUCUUACAUUGAGCUGUAUCAUGUGCGCGACAAGGACGAACAUCCAUGUCAUUUCUCAGUAGACGUUCAGGGCAGGUUCAGAAACGUAGCAUCUGAACGAUAGUAGCACUCUGCAAAAAAACCCUCAGUCUGUGAGACUGCUCCUUUACAGUGUAUGUCUGUGUGUAUAUACGCUUCCGAAGUCACUCGUGCAAAAACACAUUGUUUUGGUUGUUCAUGCUGUAGUACUGCAACACUAUCGUUACGUUAACACUAACUUUAAAGGGGUGAUUGAUUGUACGCGUGAGGCGUCAUCGUAGAUGGGUUUUUCAGGUUACACGUUCCGAUUUUUUUCCGAAUUUUCCAAACGCAAUAAAUUCAAUCGGGUGAUUCCCAAAAGGGUGCAGACGGCGGAGAGAAACAACCGUUGUCUCAGCGGCACCGGUGUGCACUUAGCCAUGGACGUUAAUGUUGAGUAAUGACUCCACGCUUAGGACAAUUAACUUGUGACGUCUGGGGUAAAGAUUAGGCGUUCAGGAGGCCCCCGUGCCAGGGAUGUGCGUUUUGAUUCAAUUCAGCAGCCUUAAGCAACUACCGUCUGUAUGUCCCCUGUAGGGUAAGACACAGGUGGUGCACAUUUGGAGAAAGGGUGCUAGAAUUUCUCUUUUUUUUUACAGUGACAUGAAUGUCCUUUUCGGUCAACUGGAAAAAAAUGUAUCAUACUUGAAGCGUAUACACCGCAGCAUUAAUAAGAUGCUAUAACCGCUUCGUUGUCUGUAUGGUCAGCAAUCCAUUCCCAGUAUUGAUUUAAAGGUGUUUUAUAGAUCAACAUAUAUUCCAUUGUCUGUGUUAAGGGGCCUGAUGGGUCUGAUUUAUACUGUACAUCUGUUACAUUAUGGUCUUUUCAUCUGCAUCAGCCUUUUUGUUUUGCAUUUUUACAUCAUCGUUUUUGUGCUUAUCUCUAAUUUUAAGUCAUCAAUGUUAUUUAUUUUUUUUAUGUUGAAAUGUGUAUGCACUUUUAAUGAUUUUCCUUUUUGGGGGGUUUUGUUUUAUCUUAAAUGAAUGCAUCUUUUUUAAGGGAAAGACUAUUUUGUUUUUCUCAUGUGAGAACAAAAUGAG